rnacentral:lncRNA from 1 species
ACACUUCUCUGAUGGGAAUUCAGUACAUCCAUUCCUCUUUGGUUUUAGCCAUCGCCCCUGGGUCUGGCCAGAGCCCCCACAAAGCUCUUCUGUAGCCUUUCUCUUUGGCUCACAGAAGCUCAAAGCAAUAACUGAGGCACAACUCUGGCAGUCGUACAGGACUCUGGCCUUUUUCCUUGGUCUUAUCUUUUAGGUAUGCAUGAAUUUUCUCUGCUUGAUUCUUAUUUUAUUUUAUAUUUAUUUAUUUAUUUAUUUUUGAGACGGAAUCUUGCUCUGUCGCCCAGGCUGGAGUGCGGUGGCGCAAUCUCAGCUCACUGCAAGCUCCGCCUCCCGGGUUCACGCUAUUCUCCAGCUCAGCCUCCCAAGUAGCUGGGACUACAGGCACCGGCCACCACUCCCGGCUAAUUUUUUUGUAUUUUU